UACGAAGGGUGCAAGCGUUGUCCGGAAUUAUUGGGCGUAAAGCGCGCGCAGGCGGUCCUUUAAGUCUGAUGUGAAAGCCCACGGCUCAACCGUGGAGGGUCAUUGGAAACUGGGGGACUUGAGUGCAGAAGAGGAAAGUGGAAUUCCAUGUGUAGCGGUGAAAUGCGUAGAGAUGUGGAGGAACACCAGUGGCGAAGGCGACUUUCUGGUCUGUAACUGACGCUGAGGCGCGAAAGCGUGGGGAGCAAACAGG
rnacentral:rRNA from 1 species